AUUGAACGCUGGCGGCAGGCCUAACACAUGCAAGUCGAACGAAGUCUUCGGACUUAGUGGCGGACGGGUGAGUAACACGUGGGAACGUACCUUUUGGUUCGGAACAACUCAGGGAAACUUGAGCUAAUACCGGAUGAGCCCUUAGGGGGAAAGAUUUAUCGCCGAAAGAGCGGCCCGCGUUAGAUUAGCUAGUUGGUGAGGUAAAGGCUCACCAAGGCUACGAUCUAUAGCUGGUCUGAGAGGAUGAUCAGCCACACUGGGACUGAGACACGGCCCAGACUCCUACGGGAGGCAGCAGUGGGGAAUUUUGCGCAAUGGGCGGAAGCCUGACGCAGCCAUGCCGCGUGAAUGAUGAAGGUCUUAGGAUUGUAAAAUUCUUUUACCAGGGACGAUAAUGACGGUACCUGGAGAAAAAGCCCCGGCUAACUUCGUGCCAGCCGCCGCAGUAAUAC
rnacentral:rRNA from 1 species